GCUUACAUUUCUUUUUCUUGUCCCUUUCUGUUUUAUUCUUAUAGUAUUGCACAUGUUCAUCAUAGCUGUCAGAAUGUGUAGCCAUUUUGGAACUGCUGAUAAUCCUUGAAGAAAACAUCUUGCACCAUUAAGACUGUGUAGCAUCUACUUACUGCUUGCAAAGGUGUCUGCCCUUGCAUAAAGUGACAUAGGAGUAUCAUUGGUCAAGGCAAUGGCUUUCAGUGUUUCUGCUUUGAAAGAAAAUGAUGGAAGUGGCAGCUGAAUCUACAGAUCAUCGCUCUCUACCAGGCCAGGCUGCAUUGUCAGGUGGACUGGAUUGGCUUCCGGCUGGAAAGCUGCUUUGAUGUCUAGUCCUUGGUCACAGAGAGCAGCGUAUCGGCUGGCUGAGGGCCGCACCUUCUUUGGCUUGGUCUGCUGAGGGGGUUGUUGCCACUGAGCUGUAGAUUAAAAAGGAAAGAAAAAGUGUUAGCCUUCCUGAGCUGUGCACAUAAGUGUGCCAGAUGCUCAGUCAACCCUUUGUGAAGGAGACAGUAAUUUCUGAGAAGCAGAAAGUCAUUGUAUCAAAGGUAAAUUUGUUUAAUUUCUUGGCAUUGUUGUUUUGUUUCACCUUCAAAUGUGGUAAGUAAAUACUACAGCUGUGUUACUUUUUGGCAUUGUUUUCUACAUUUCCUUGUGCCACUGAGAAAGGUGACAGCAAGGAGGUUGUUUCGGUGCACUCCUAUUACAGUAACAGGCCCGUUCUAGGGUUAAUUGUUGCAUAUAAAAGGAAAUUAUGUGGUUGCCUUUGCUGCCCCUUGUAUGCUGAAGAAUGCUGAGCCAAAUCUCUUAAUCACAAUUCCCACUUCCAGCACCAUCCCAGAAAUCAUCCUUUAUCUCUCUCCCCUUCCCCCUCCCCCUUAAUUCUUGCUAUGAGAAGACUGGUAAGAGAUACUUCUUUAAGUAAAGAUUCACUAUAUAUGGGGAUGCUUUGGAACAAACUGAGUAAUUAAGCAGAAAGCCAUAAAAACACUCUACUACACUUCUGGUAGCUGUCACAGGUGUAUUACAGACUAAUGUACAAAAGAAUCCAAAAGGUUAGGGAAGUGCCAACAAAACAAUAGUAAUAAUGAUCCACAAAAAUCAUAUGAUCAUGCCGUUAUCUGUUGUUAAUUAGCUAUAUUUAAUGUACUAAGCAAAAACAGAAAGCAUGCAGGCUUGUUUUUCUUUAGGUAUCUGAAAGAUGAUGAAAUAUACUUUGAGAGAGCA